rnacentral:rRNA from 1 species
GACGAACGCUGGCGGCGUGCUUAACACAUGCAAGUCGAACGGAAAGGCCCUGCUUUUGUGGGGUGCUCGAGUGGCGAACGGGUGAGUAACACGUGAGUAACCUGCCCUUGACUUUGGGAUAACUUCAGGAAACUGGGGCUAAUACCGGAUAGGAGCUCCUGCUGCAUGGUGGGGGUUGGAAAGUUUCGGCGGUGGGGGAUGGACUCGCGGCUUAUCAGCUUGUUGGUGGGGUAGGGGCUUACCAAGGCAUUGACGGGUAGCCGGCCUGAGAGGGUGACCGGCCACAUUGGGACUGAGGUACGGCCCAGACUCCUACGGGAGGCAGCAGUGGAGAAUAUUGCACAAUGGGCGGAAGCCUGAUGCAGCAGCGCCGCGGGCGGGAUGACGGCCUUCGGGUUGUAAACCGCUUUCGCCUGUGACGCAGCGUGAGUGACGGUAAUGGGUAAAGAAGCACCGGCUAACUACGUG